rnacentral:lncRNA from 1 species
ACAAUUUUAUUAUUAUCUGAUACAAAGCAUUACAGAUACAAUAAUAUUAAAAAAUUUGAUUGUCUGAUGUGAGGUCCAGAAGACCCUCAAACAACACUUUCUCAACUUAACUUUUGAUAACUAUCAUUUUUGUAUUUGUUUGAGGUCUAAACAAGUUGUUUAACUUCAAAAUUCGUUUCUUUCAAAACUUAAAAGAAUAAUUAUUUUUUGCCACAUAUGGCAAUUGUAAAAGGAAAUGGAGUCAGAAAAAUGACCAAAAAAUGUAAGAAUACCUGCAGACAGAGAACAGAUUUUUGGAAAAGAGGUUCCUUGUCUACAGUUGAUAGUGAUUCACAAUUAUCCACUGAGGGAAGUAUAAAAGUCUUCAGUUUUUUGUUGAAGAGGUUCCCAGUCAAAUGUCUAAUGCUCUUGAUCAUUGCUGGAUUCCUGUCACAUCAUCCUUGCUCAGAGGAACCAAAGUCUCCAAUAUAUUCCAAAGGAACAGGAUUAAACAUAAAUUGAAAAUAUAAAAAAUUAUUUGGAGGUAAUAAAGGAAGAAAGAAAUAUAGAAUUCUUGCACAAAGGGCAGAACAGGAACUGUUACAUCAAACCACCAUCAAAAUGUUAAUCUUACCUAGUAGUAGUAGUAGUAGAGAGGGAAGGGCCUAUGCAGCCCAAGCACCACGACCACCACAGGUCUAUUGUGCACCCCCAACCAAAUCAUCCCAGAAGAAGACCUCUCCUCAAGACAAAGGACAGAAUUCUCCUUAAUGGGACAGUAGCAAGAUAAUCUUACCUAUAUACUUCAUCUAUGUCCUUUUAUCUCUAUAAGUGACAAGGAAGUCACCUAUAGUGAUAAAAGGACCAAACACCAAAUGCAUAUUCAUUCGAAAUCUAUUGCUUUCAUCUCACAAAUAUCUAUUGAAAGAUAUUCUGAUACAAGAAGACAUUAUUCUGAUCCUUGACUCCAUUUCCAGAUAAUUAAUGACCUCGACUACGUUCUGUUUUCCUUUCAAUUCAUUUUAAUCAUUCAUUCAUAU